rnacentral:lncRNA from 1 species
CACAGGAAUUUGCCCAACUUGAUUAAGAGGCGGUUUACUACCCACAAUGCUCAUGAGCCAAUAAUAAUAUGCUGUGUAAAACGCAUUAAACCAAACACUGCUAAACAUUGGCAAACCAAUAUGCAUAUAUUCAUGGACAUAUCAGUAUAUAUCAGCAUAUAAAAUGCAGCCUCUAAACUAAAUACAAACAAAAUGCCUUUGGCUCCCGAUUGAUGACCGUCAAAUGCAAUUUACAACACACGUAUCGACCCAUCAUAUUAAGUCGGCAUGAAAGCUCUUACGGGAUAACAAUCAAACUGGUCCUAUAACAAUUUAUAUACAAACAAAUUCCAGCAUAAUGUUUCAAAUGAAA